CAGUACGUGAUUACUCACGUCCUGUAGAAUGUUCGCGACAUAGGAUAUAAUAUUGACGUGUCUCUAAAAAUUAUUUAGAAAGACUCUACAUGUAUGGCAAAUUAAUUAUUGUGUAAAGUAUAUGACAAAGAAAGUACCAAUAAAAAUAAUAAAAAAUCUCACUCAUUAUUUUAAAAGUUAUUUAUCAUUCUACAAUGUUCGUGAAAAAUAAUCACACCUGUAGAAAAAAAUUGCCGAAAUGCUAAAAUUUUUAUUUUUCAAGUUGGAUCAUUGGUUUAUAGCUCUAGCAACUCUAUGAUUUGCCUUGUUAUGACUAGUGUAGGCCAUAUUUCCGCGAGUGAUAGCAUUUCAGAGAAUCAUUAAGUUGUAUAGGCGUUCUACACCAGUGUCAAAGUUGAAGUCUCAUUUCUGUACUCAAUAAAAAAAAUUUUUACAGGUAUAUUAGGCAAAACGCGAUUGGAGAAAGAAAAAGAGUAACAUUUAGGAAGAACAAAAAAAGGCUUGGAUACCAAAGAAGAGACAAAAAAUGACCAAAGCUGGACUGGAAGGAGCACAUCGAAAAUAUAGAGAAAGAUACUAAAAAAAACUAUUAAGAAGCUGGGAAAAUAAAAUCAAUCAAAGACUACACACCAAGAGCACAAAAAACAAUAAGAAAGAGUUGGCCAGAGUUUCACAAAGAUCUACAGUAUUUUCUAGAUUUUCCUUGGAUCAAAGUCUUGCAGACAAAAAUAGAUGAACACUGAAAUUAGAAAAUUUGCUUCUUAAGCGAAGAAAAUUAAGCUAGCAGAGUUUGAAAAACAGCUCGGAUUUGCUCCCAUUACAAAAUUAGGCUUAUUUACUUUACUCCCA